rnacentral:tRNA from 1 species
ACCACCAUUAGCUCAUCAGGAAAGAGCGCCAGCCUUCGAAGCUGGUUGCGCGGAGUUCGGGUCCCCGAAGGCGGUU